rfam:Flavobacterium fryxellicola strain DSM 16209 FBFR47, whole genome shotgun sequence.
UACUACACUGCGUUAAGGAUAGGAGUGAAAAUCCUUUUUUGGGCUUUUUUGGCCAAAAAAGAGUGUAGCGGAUAGCCUGCCCGCCU